AGAGUUUGAUCCUGGCUCAGGAUGAACGCUGGCGGCGUGCCUAACACAUGCAAGUCGAACGGGAACCCUUGGAUUCGUCUGGGGGGGAGAGUGGCGAACGGGUGAGUAACACGUAGGUGACCUGCCCCAAAGAGGGGAAUAACCACGGGAAACGGUGGCUAAUACCCCAUGUGGUCUAUCGAUCGUACGGUAGAUUAAAGUGUCCCUUAGGGGAUUGCGCUUUGGGAGGGGCUUGCGGCCCAUCAGGUAGUUGGUAGGGUAAUGGCCUACCAAGCCGAUGACGGGUAGGGGGCGUGAGAGCGUGAUCCCCCACACUGGCACUGAGAUACGGGCCAGACUCCUACGGGAGGCAGCAGUGAGGAAUAUUGCCCAAUGGACGAAAGUCUGAGGCAGCAACGCCGCGUGGGCGACGAAGGCCUUCGGGUUGUAAAGCCCUUUUCUGGGGGACGAGGAAGGACGGUACCUCAGGAAUAAGUCACGGCUAACUACGUGCCAGCAGCCGCGGUAAUACGUAGGUGGCGAGCGUUAUCCGGAAUUAUUGGGCGUAAAGCGCGUGUAGGCGGUUCUGUAAGUCGGACGUGAAAGCUCCUGGCUCAACUGGGAGAGGUCGUUCGAUACUGCGGAACUUGAGGUCGGGAGAGGGACGUGGAAUUCCCGGUGUAGUGGUGGAAUGC
rnacentral:rRNA from 1 species